GAUGAACGCUGGCGGCGUGCCUAAUACAUGCAAGUCGAGCGAACGGACGAGAAGCUUGCUUUUCUGAUGUUAGCGGCGGACGGGUGAGUAACACGUGGAUAACCUACCUAUAAGACUGGGAUAACUUCGGGAAACCGGAGCUAAUACCGGAUAAUAUUUUGAACCGCAUGGUUCAAAAGUGAAAGACGGUCUUGCUGUCACUUAUAGCUGGAUCCGCGCUGCAUUAGCUAGUUGGUAAGGUAAAGGCUUACCAAGGCAACGAUGCAUAGCCGACCUGAGAGGGUGAUCGGCCACACUGGAACUGGGACACGGUCCAGACUCCUACGGGAGGCCGCAGUAGGGAAUCUUCCGCAAUGGGCGAAAGCCUGACGGAGCAACGCCGCGUGAGUGAUGAAGGUCUUCGGAUCGUAAAACUCUGUUAUUAGGGAAGAACAUAUGUGUAAGUAACUGUGCACAUCUUGACGGUACCUAAUCAGAAAGCCACGGCUAACUACGUG
rnacentral:rRNA from 1 species